UGGGGAAUAUUGCACAAUGGAGGGAACUCUGAUGCAGCGACGCCGCGUGAGUGAUGGAGGACUUCGUUUCGUAAAACUCUGUUCUAUGGGAAGAAAAGGACUGUACCAUAGGAGAAAGCUCCGGCUAAAUACGUGCCAGCAGCCGCGGUAAUACGUAUGGAGCGAGCGUUGUCCGGAAUUAUUGGGCGUAAAGGGUGCGCAGGCGGCUUUACAAGUUGGAUGUGAAAUAUUGUGGCUCAACCACAAACGUGCAUCCAAAACUGCAAAGCUUGAGUUAAGGAGAGGUAAGUGGAAUUCCUGGUGUAGCGGUGGAAUGCGUAGAUAUCAGGAGGAAUACCGGUGGCGAAGGCGACUUACUGGACUUAAACUGACGCUCAGGCACGAAAGCGUGGGGAGCAAACAGG
rnacentral:rRNA from 1 species